ensembl:lncRNA
GUGGAUCACCCAGUUAAUGCCAGGCACAGCACUGCACACACACUGCCCAGCAAAGUGAGGCACUUUGCUCUUUGAACGAAAUAUAAAUAGCAAGAUCUAUCUGAGAUUUUGUUAGUAAAGAUAGAAGAGCCAGAACAAAACCAGAAUAUAGUCUGGUUUAAUACAUUCAUAUGCACAUUCUACAUUUGCAUAUGUAUAUAAAGGAAAGUGAGUCAGUUUGGUGCUCAUCACUACAACAAUCUUAGCCAAGUGUUAUGAAGGAGGCUGCAAUCCUCAGGGUAAUUCAGUAUAUACAUGAGCAUCCAAGCAGAGUGUGUCUGGGAAUGCCCACAGAGGUGAAGGAGUUCCCAGAGCCCCCGUUUCUCUCCCACCAAAUACCUGCAAUGAAACCCGCAGCCCAGGCUCCAGGAAUGCCUCUGUAGGGCCAAAUAAUUAACCAGAGCAGCGAGCUUUCACUACAAAAAUGAACCCAGCUACAUUUAUACAAACUUUUCUGCCUCACUAAUUACUUGCCAUCUGCAGUAAUGUGUUUACCUUCUCCUUCCUGAAGCUGGUAAUUCAUGUUUUUCUUUAUUGACUUCCAGGUGGCUGUUUUGGAGCCAACUCACCAGUUGAGUUGUCCAAAUCAUUUUGAAUUCAGGCCCUCUGGCUCCUCCAGUGCCAGGUGGGACAGGACCAUGAUUAUUCUCUCCUCUGGGCAGCAGAUCCUGGUGUUGGGUUUGCCCAGCAGGUAACUGAUUCAUCUUCAAUUCCUCUGUUCGUGUGAGGUGUUCCAAUUCCAGAGUAUCUGUUCUUCCACUAAAACAGACCCCCCUUCAGGCAAAAGGCUUUCUGGUUUUAACUCCUGCCAGCAAACACAGCACCCCUGGAGCAGUGGCCCUGGCAGAGCCUGGCCCCUGCCUGUCCCCAGUGGCCGCAGUCCCUCCCGGGGUGCUCAGCCCAACCCCUGUGCCCUGAGCUCACCCUGCCCGCUCCUGCUGGGAGGGAACGUGCCCAGCCCCAGGCAGAGCCAGCCCGGAGCACCGUGCCAGUGCUGGUGUGCCAGCGGUGUGCCAGCUGUGACAGAUGCUGGGGUGCCAGCUGUGUGCCAGCUGUUUGACAGCUCCUUGUGUGACAGCUGUGACAGCUCCCCAUGUGCCAGCUGUGUGCCAGCUCCCUGUGUGACAGCUCUGUGUGCCAUCUGUGUGACAGCCGUGUGCCAGCUCUCUGUGUGCCAGCUCUCUGUGUGCCAGCUGUGUGCCAGCUCACUCAGCUCACGCCUGGGAACAGCAGCACGAGCUCUGAGCAGGCAGGCACAGGGAUCACAGCCUGGGCAUUCCCUGUGCCCCAGAGCCACUCCUGCCACGGCAGCAAUGCCACAGGAACUCCCUGGUACCUGCACAGCAGAACAGAGCCAGGCCCUGCCCCGAGGUGCAGUCUAGCCCCAGCUGCCCGCUCCAGAGGGAUCUGCGGGGUGGCCCGGGCCCAGCAGGGUCACUGCUCGGGCUGCCCCGUGCCAGCAGCGCCUUUCUCACGGCUCCUGCCGGGCUGGGGAACAGGACAUUUGUACUUCUUGAUUGUUUUGAUUCCACUUUUGCCCUUCUGCCCGGCCUGAGGGACUGCUCCGUGACUGAAUUCAUUUCCUCCUGGAUGGAUUCGCUGCCUCGAGCAGCCCUUCCCAAAGCUUUCCAGCAGCAGCCCAGCCCAGCACCACCCUGGCUGCCAGGAUCAGUGCCCUGGCAGCUUCUGCCCUACUCCCAGGUCCCCAGGGAGCCACAGGCAUCGGGACUGUGCCUCGGAUCCACGCCGGGAAUGGCUGCAGAGAGGCUGGACCCACAGCAGGGGGAUGGAGGGUCCUCAGGACCCCACAGCAGGGUGGCACAGAGUCCCUGGGACCCACAGCCCUGCAGUGCCAAGCCCAGCACAAGGUGAGGUGACAAACAUCACUCACAAUCAGUGAAAGGGUGUCAGGAGGAUGCAGUCCCUUUAUGAUCACACACCCAGAGAACAGCGGUGGGGUUCCCCCGAUGGGGCCAUGCUCAGCUCCAGCAGGGCCCUGUGCCACAUCCCCUGUGCACCAGCCCCAGCUCAGCCCCUCUGAGCUCCCUGUGCCCCCAGCCUGGCUGCUCCCAAGUCCCCAACUGCUCCCACUUGCCCCUUGGCUCAGUGACAGAGGAGCAGAGCUGCCCUGGGGAGCAGGGGACAGGACAGCCUGGGGAGGACACUGUGUUUCCUUCCCUGUUGUUUUUUCCCUUAUGUUAUGCAGUUCCUGUGAAUCCUGGAUUGAUGAGAUGUGCAGCAAGCAUCAUUUAUGGCACCCGAGGGAUCAGCAGCCACUGCUGGCAAGGCUGGACCUGGCAGCACCCUGGCACUCCUGGGGCUGGAGCUGGCCCUGGGUGUGGCAGGAGAGACCGGGUCCUGCCCAGGCACCCGCUCUGCCAGGGUGGGAAUCAGGCAGCAGACCAUCAAAUCCACGUUUUUUCCUAAGCCUCCACCCACACUGCCCAGUGUGCCUGCUCCAUGCAGCCUCCGCUGCACCUCAGCCCCUGUGUCUCACAGCCACACACCCCACUCACGUUUGUGAACUCCACCAGGGGCACCACCCUCCUGGGCACCAACCCACAGCCCCGCCAGAAGGAGGGAAAAAGCUCCAGCUCAGGUAAAGGCCACCAGUCUGGACUUUAAAUGGUGAUGACAACUAUAAGUGAUAUUAAAAAACCCUGAUCUUCACAGGUUGUCAGCAAACCAGUCUGAUUCAUGCCCGUAUUUAACGUGCCAGCUGCUCUCUCCCCACUCCUGCCCCAUGGAAUUGCCACAGCCCCCAUGGCUCGUGGCUCUCCAGCUCAUUUCCAAGGGAAAUGUCAGUGCUGCACCCACAGCAGUGCCCUCCCCCACCACAGCAGCAGCUGCUCUGCAAACGCCUGGAGAAAGCCCUUUAUGACAGUAAUUUACAAUAUUAUUACCAUUCCCUGGCCAACUGCAACCAAUUCCAACGCCUGAGGUGAACUGAUGUGACAAAAAGCCAGCCCUAAAGCAGACAUCAAUAAUUACUGUCUUUCAAAAGGUUUGGUUUAGUAAAAAAAUAUCCAAAUCAACAUAACCACAUUUCUGCUUUGCCUCUGCAUCUCUCCAUGUCAUGCGCUUAGGAUAGUUUAUAUCUGCCAUGAUUUAGCCUGUUCCAAACACAAAUACUUCUGGGAACUACGGCUUGAGGAGGAUUAUUUCUGAAUCCCAGCUUCACUCUGAAGUCAAGACACAAUAACCCUCAAUCUUACCCAGACUUUGUGU